CUAAGUUUGAUGGCGACCGGCGCACGGGUGAGUAACACGUAUCCAACCUGCCGAUGACUCGGGGAUAGCCUUUCGAAAGAAAGAUUAAUACCCGAUGGCAUAGUUCUUCCGCAUGGUAGAACUAUUAAAGAAUUUCGGUCAUCGACGGGGAUGCGUUCCAUUAGGUUGUUGGCGGGGUAACGGCCCACCAAGCCUUCGAUGGAUAGGGGUUCUGAGAGGAAGGUCCCCCACAUUGGAACUGAGACACGGUCCAA
rnacentral:rRNA from 1 species